UUAAGUUCAGCGGGUAUUCCUACCUGAUUCGAGGUCAACCAUUAAAAAGAUGGGGGUUUUCCGGCAGGACAACGACCCAGUCCCAGAACGAGAAGUAACUACUGCGUUCGGUCUCGGGGCGCCGCCGCUUGCUUUGGGAGGCUGCGUAGCGCAGUCCUCCAACGCCAGGCAGGGCCUGAGGGGUUGCAAUGACGCUCGAA
rnacentral:misc_RNA from 1 species